CCUACGGGUAGCAGCAGUGAGGAAUAUUGGUCAAUGGACGAAAGUCUGAACCAGCCAAGCCGCGUGCAGGAUGACGGCCCUAUGGGUUGUAAACUUCUUUUAUACGAGGAUAAACUGUUAUACGCGUAUGUUUCUGUAAGUAUCGUACGAAUAAGGAUCGGCUAACUCCGUGCCAGCAGCCGCGGUAAUACGGAGGAUUCAAGCGUUCUCCGGAUUUAUUGGGUUUAAAGGGUGCGUCGGCGGUCUGAUAAGUCAGAGGCGAAAUGUCGAGGCUCAACCUCGGAAUUGCCUCUGAUACUGUUAGGCUAGAGAGUAGUUGAGGUAGGCGGAAUGCAUGGUGUAGCGGUGAAAUGCUUAGAGAUCAUACAGAACACCGAUUGCGAAGGCAGCUCACUAAGCUACAUCUGACGUUGAGGCACGAAAGCGUGGGGAGCAAACAGGAUUAGAUACCCUUGUAGUC
rnacentral:rRNA from 1 species